rnacentral:tRNA from 1 species
UCCAAUGUGGUGUAAUGGCUAACAUUGCUGUCUUUCACACAGCAGCUCGGGGUUCGAUUCCCCGCAUUGGAA